rnacentral:rRNA from 1 species
GGUGAACGCUGGCGGCGUGCCUAACACAUGCAAGUCGAGCGGUGCAGUUUGAAGCUUCGGUGGAAAGCUGCAUAGCGGCGGACGGGUGAGGAAAACGUAGGAACGUGCCCCUUGGAGUUGGAUAGCCACGGGAAACUGUGGGUAAACCGACAUAGACUCGAGAGAGUAAAGGCCGAAAGGCGCCAAGGGAGCGGCCUGCGGCCCAUCAGGUAGUUGGUAGUGUAAAGGACUACCAAGCCGACGACGGGUAGCCGGUCUGAGAGGAUGGCCGGCCACAAGGGCACUGAGAGACGGGCCCUACUCCUACGGGAGGCAGCAGUGAGGAAUCUUGGUCAAUGGACGGAAGUCUGAACCAGCCAUGUCGCGUGAAGGAGGACGGCCCUAAGGGUUGUAAACUUCUUUUGCAGCGGAAUAAAGUAUUCCACGUGAUGGGAUAUUGCAAGUACGCUGCGAAUAAGGAUCGGCUAACUCCGUG